GCGUUCAUGGCGGCGUUGCCCCUUGGUCCCUCGACGUCGCGUUGUCCUAGCAUCGAGGCGCCGAGGUCCCAAGGUGGCGGG
rnacentral:rRNA from 13 species